rnacentral:misc_RNA from 1 species
GCCUUCUCCAAUUCAUCCCGUGCCAUUUCAUUUUCCUUAGGCCUUUUGUAGCGAUUAUGAACAAGAACAAUAAGGGGACUGAUGUCCUUAUAGACAGUCUCCUCCCACUCUGCAGUGGUCAAGUCUUUAACUGGACGAAUAUAAUCAUCAUCUUGCCAUACUAAUUCAUUGUCGUCAUCAUUUUCAUCGUCAUCUUUCUUAACAUUCUUGAUACUGAUCUUAUUGAAGAAUUGAUCCAAGUUAAAACCUCGCCCAUCAGCAUCUUCUGGCCAAUCAGGGUCUUCCUCAUCAACAACAAGAGGGUAAUCAGCCAAAAGCUUUUGCAUCUUUUGUCUUCUCUCAACAGGAUCUACCUCUUCCUCAACAUCAGGAGACAUUUUAAUGACAUCUCUUAUCUUCCUCCUCCAUUCCCGCCUUUCAUCCUCAUCCAUAUGAAAGUAAUCGUCCCUCUUAUGACCUCCAUCAGAAUCAGAUUCAGAUUCAUCUCCAUCAUCUUCCUCUCCAUUGCCAAAUUUGAGCAACUCUUCUAGCUUCGAAGCUUUUGAUCCCUUUAGUCUGAGACCCUGAACCGUCAAUUGGGACCUCCAAAAGUUUGGUACUGAUGGACCAAAAUUAUUCAAUUUCAAGGAACAGAGAUUAAAACUUCUCAGUCUGUUUUUCCUUUGUGGGAAAAUUCCAAACACUGAAGGGAAGCUUCUCAAGCAUUUCUCUUGUGAAGGUGGGGCCAAAAGCUGCAGUCUUAGGCUGUGUUGUAAUUCCAUUGUUUUGUUCAGAUUAGUGUUGUCUCACUUCUCCACAGGUCAGUGUUGGAGUGAGAGUUUUCCCCCAAUUUUGUUAGAGAUAAUGAAUAUUGGAUAAAAUAUUGACAGAAUAUGG